rnacentral:rRNA from 1 species
UGGGGAAUAUUGCACAAUGGGGGAAACCCUGAUGCAGCGACGCCGCGUGAACGAAGAAGGUAUUCGUAUCGUAAAGCUCUGUCCUAUGGGAAGAUAAUGACAGUACCAUAGAAGAAAGCUCCGGCUAAAUACGUGCCAGCAGCCGCGGUAAUACGUAUGGAGCGAGCGCUGUCCGGAAUUAUUGGGCGUAAAGGGUACGCAGGCGGUUUAAUAAGUCGAAUGUUAAAGAUCGGGGCUCAACCCCGCAAAGCAUUGGAAACUGAUAAACUUGAGUAGUGGAGAGGAAAGUGGAAUUCCUAGUGUAGUGGUGAAAUACGUAGAUAUUAGGAGGAAUACCAGUAGCGAAGGCGACUUUCUGGACACAAACUGACGCUGAGGUACGAAAGCGUGGGGAGCAAACAGG